UACGGGGGGGGCAAGCGUUGUUCGGAAUUACUGGGCGUAAAGGGCCAGUAGGCGGCCAACUAAGUCGGAUGUGAGAUCCCCAGGCUCAACUUGGGAACUGCAUCCGAUACUGGAUGGCUUGAAUUCGGGAGAGGGAUGCAGAAUUCCAGGUGUAGCGGUGAAAUGCGUAGAUAUCUGGAGGAACACCGGUGGCGAAGGCGGCGUUCUGGACUGCAACUGACACUGAUGAACGAAAGCCAGGGGAGCAAACGGG
rnacentral:rRNA from 1 species